UGAGGAAUAUUGGUCAAUGGACGCAAGUCUGAACCAGCCAAGUAGCGUGCAGGAUGACGGCCCUAUGGGUUGUAAACUGCUUUUAUGUGGGAAUAAAGUGGCGCACGUGUGCGCCAUUGCAUGUACCUCAUGAAUAAGGAUCGGCUAAUUCCGUGCCAGCAGCCGCGGUAAUACGGAAGGUCCGGGCGUUAUCCGGAUUUAUUGGGUUUAAAGGGAGUGUAGGCGGUCUGUUAAGCGUGUUGUGAAAUUUAGGUGCUCAACAUUUAACUUGCAGCGCGAACUGUCAGACUUGAGUACACGCAGCGCAGGCGGAAUUCAUGGUGUAGCGGUGAAAUGCUUAGAUAUCAUGAGGAACUCCGAUCGCGAAGGCAGCCUGCGGGAGUGUUACUGACGCUUAAGCUCGAAGGUGCGGGUAUCGAACAGGAUUAGAUACCCUGGUAGUCCGCACAGUAAACGAUGGAUGCCCGCCGUUGGCGCCCUGCGCCUGCGGCCAAGCGAAAGCAUUAAGCAUCCCACCUGGGGAGUACGCCGGCAACGGUG
rnacentral:rRNA from 1 species